AAUUAAAUAAAACUCCGAGCCCGCCUUCCUAAGGCAGAUGCUACGGGGGCGUGGCCUGGGGCUUACGACCCCACAGGGUUGUAGGAGAAAUCCUACAGCCUCCCUGUAUGGAAAGGAGGAGAUGCUCAGGCAUG
rnacentral:ncRNA from 2 species